rnacentral:rRNA from 1 species
GAUGAACGCUGGCGGCGUGCCUAAUACAUGCAAGUCGAGCGAACAGACGAGGAGCUUGCUCCACUGACGUUAGCGGCGGACGGGUGAGUAACACGUGGAUAACCUACCUAUAAGACUGGGAUAACUUCGGGAAACCGGAGCUAAUACCGGAUAAUAUAUUGAACCGCAUGGUUCAAUAGUGAAAGACGGUUUUGCUGUCACUUAUAGAUGGAUCCGCGCCGCAUUAGCUAGUUGGUAAGGUAACGGCUUACCAAGGCGACGAUGCGUAGCCGACCUGAGAGGAUGAUCGGCCACACUGGAGCGGAAACACGGACCAGACUCCUACGAGAGGCAGCAGUAGGGAAUCUUCCGCAAUGGGCGAAAGCCUGACGGAGCAACGCCGCGUGAGUGAUGAAGGUCUUCGGAUCGUAAAACUCUGUUAUUAGGGAAGAACAAAUGUGUAAGUAACUAUGCACGUCUUGACGGUACCUAAUCAGAAAGCCACGGCUAACUACGUG